rnacentral:rRNA from 1 species
UACGGGGGGGGCAAGCGUUGUUCGGAAUUACUGGGCGUAAAGGGCUCGUAGGCUGCCAACUAAGUCAGACGUGAAAUCCCUCGGCUUAACCGGGGAACUGCGUCUGAUACUGGAUGGCUUGAGAUUGGGAGAGGGAUGCGGAAUUCCAGGUGUAGCGGUGAAAUGCGUAGAUAUCUGGAGGAACACCGGUGGCGAAGGCGGCAUCCUGGACCGGCAUUGACGCUGAGGAGCGAAAGCCAGGGGAGCAAACGGG